UUCCACUUUGGGCCCCUGAUGUUUCAUAAAUGUGCGAUCUGCACCCCUCGUGUAUAAAACGUGCGGUCAAGGUCCCUAACGUUUCUAAAAUGUGCGAUUAACGUCCUUCCGUUAGGUUCCGUCUGUUGACCAAACGGAAUGCUGACGUGGCAUUUAUUUAAUUUCUGAUAAAAAAAUAAAAUAUUAAAACUUAAUAAUAAUAAAAAUGAAAAAUCUCUCAUCACUCGACCCUCUCUCUCCCUCAUUCACGCUUCUUCUUCUUUCUUCUUUUUUCAUCUUUCUCCUUCCUCCUUCCAUGGCUUCCUCAACCUGACCUCACCCCACAACCCCAAAUCUCUCAGACUUGUUCUCUCUCUCUCUCUCAAUCUCGCUCUGGAUCUCGCUCUCUCCUCUGGAUCUCACCCUCUCUCUCUCUCUCUCGAUCUCGCUCUCUCCGCUGGUUGGUUGGGUGGCGGUUGUAGGUGGGUGGGGGUGGGUUUGUUGAGGUUGCAUGUUGGUUGGGUGUUGAUUGGGGUGAGGUAUGGGUUAAGGGUGGCGGUUGCAGGUGGGUGGGAGAGGGAGGAGGUUGCAGGUUGGUUGGGUGUUGAUUGGGGAUUUUAUCUUCUGGGAGGGACAGAAGGUACGGUCUGGGCAUAAUUUGGCUUUCCACUAUUUGGCUAAUUUGGCACACUAGAAAUAGUGUGAUUUUUGAAGAAAAGGUGCUAAACUGGUCGGGAUCUCUUGAUUCAAUCCAAUAUAGAUCUUGGCUAUGGCUAAGGGGGAAAGUAAAAGGUUUCCAUUUUUCUCAAUAUGAGUGGAUGUCCAAUCCUCUGCACUGUUUGGGAUCACUAUAGCCUUGGAGAUUAAGGGUGUUUAUUCGCUGCCCAUAUCCUUCUCAGAUGGUGCUCGUUGCUGCAAUAUUUGCACAGGGAUAUUUCCACCCUUAUUUGCUAUUGCUGAUCCUUAUUGUUGUCUAUUCUCUUAGCUGGUGGUGCGUGUUUUUCUUGCUGUGGAUGCAGUCUUUCUAGGCUUUUUGAUUCUUUGAUAUGUAUUAGCUGCUUGAUCUAUUUGGUGUCUUUUUGUUUCUUGUACUUGGGCUUGAAGUAGUACUUCUUUUCAAUGCAUUAACAAAUCUGGGUUUGAGUUUUU